CAAGAUCAAGUGUGCCGGUGCCGAAGGCGAGGAGGCUGCUCUCCUAUUUACAUCAUGUUUUAAGGCAUGACAGAGGCAAAGACAUGCAUCUGAAGGCUGAGGGAUGAACUGGCUGUGAGAUAUGUUUUGUGGAUUAAACCUCAGAAUCAGGAAGACCUGGACUAGAUGAGAACACCUGUAUAGACUGUCCAUCCAAGUGACGUGAAGAUGUCUGCUGGGGAGCGUGCACCCAGCCAUGCCUGCGAGACUGUGGGCUGUGGGGCCGAGGCAAGACUACAGUGCCCCACAUGCAUCAAAUUGGGCAUUCAGGGAUCCUUUUUCUGCUCCCAGAGCUGUUUCAAGAGUUCCUGGGAAACACACAAACAACUCCAUAAGAAAACAAGAUCAAGUGAAAGCAGCCUGUCACAGUACAAUCCUUGGCCAUAUUUCAUGUUUACUGGUAGCUUACGGCCGUACCCACAAAGUAGCAAGAGGGAAGUGCCUUCAUCUAUAGGCAGACCAGACUAUGCUGACGACCCUCAUGGAUUUCCUCAUUCUGAGCAGAAAGUUCGAUCAUCGUCCAAUAUCAAGUGCCUUUCAGAUGAAGAGAUUGAGAGUAUGAAAGUAGCUUGUAAGCUGGCCCGGGAAGUCUUGGAUGAAGGAGUGAAGGUGGCAGCCAUUGGAGUGACAACAGACGAGAUAGAUCGUGUGGUUCAUGAGGCUGCCGUGGAGAGGGAGUGUUAUCCUUCACCUCUUAACUACCAUGGGUUCCCAAAGUCCUGUUGUACUUCUAUUAAUGAAGUUAUAUGUCAUGGUAUUCCUGAUAUGAGGCCAUUGCAAAAUGGAGAUAUUUGUAACAUUGAUGUCACAGUGUACCAUCGCGGUUAUCAUGGAGACCUGAAUGAGACGCUGUGUAUUGGGGAAGUAAGCAACACAUCUAGAAAUCUUGUCAAGACUACCUGGGAGUGUCUGCAAAAAGCUAUCGAAAUUGUCAAGCCUGGUGUGAAGUACCGGGAUGUUGGUGCAGUGAUCCAGAAGCACGCUCAGUCUCAGGGGUACUCUGUUGUGCGUUCCUACUGUGGCCAUGGCAUACACCAGCUCUUUCACACUGCUCCCUCUGUGCCUCAUUAUGCAAGUUAAAAAUAAAGCUGUGGGUAUCAUGAAACCAGGACACACAUUUACAAUUGAACCAAUGAUAUCAGAAGGUACAUGGAAGGAUGAACAGUGGCCUGAUAACUGGACUGCAGUGACAGCUGAUGGGAAGCUCUCAGCUCAAUUUGAGGAGACUCUCCUUGUGACAGAAACAGGAGUGGAGAUCCUGACGCAACGUACUGAGAAGAACGGUCAGCCAUAUUUUAUGGAUUGAGGUGAGGGGAAAGUUAGGAUAUGUAUAUUAAGACUAUGCCAUUUGUUUGUUUAUCAACUGAGAAAUAAUAUGCUGAGACUAUAAAUCCUCUAAAUAUAAAGAAUCAGGCUUUCAAACCUGGAGAGUUUUGUUGCUCAGAUAGUGUGGCAUACAGGUCAUCCUGAUUUGUGAAACUAGAUAAGGUAUGGCAGUGGGCAUUAACACACCUAUAUUACUUGUAAUUAUUGCAGCACGAUGUAGAAUAUCUAUAUUUUGUAUUGAAUUAUAACAGCCUGUAUCAGUUAUGCAGAUGAAUCAGCCAGAUAUUAAAGCUGUUCUUUGAUGAAAGGUUUAUAGCUUCAAAAUGUCACUAGUAGUGAUCACAGUGAGAGCUUGUUUGUCCAUCUUUUCCCAUUUCAAGGACAUUGCAGGAAUCUUAACUUUCUAUGUGUUAAUUAUAUUAGAAACUCUAAAUUAUAUUAAGAAUUUUUACCAAGUUGUAUGUUUGUUGAAUUGAUACAUGAGAUUUAUGAAUGUGAUGCAUGAUACAAAUGUGUCCAGUAAAAAGUUUCAGGCCUUCAUAUUUACACUGUCCAUUUGAAGGUCUGGCUUACAUUUCCAUUCUGACUUGUUUGUUUACAGUAAUGAAUUUCAGUAAGUUCUUAA